GGCGGCAGGGUAGCCUAGUGGUUAGAGUGUAGAGGCGGCAGGGUAGUCUAGUGGUUAGAGUGGAGGGGCGGCAGGGUAGCCUAGUGGUUAGAGUGGAGGGGCGGCAGGGUAGCCUAGUGGUUAGAGUGGAGGGGCGGCAGGGUAGCCUAGUGGUUAGAGUGGAGGGGCGGCAGGGUAGCCUAGUGGUUAGAGGGGAGGGGCGGCAGGGUAGCCUAGUGGUUAGAGUGGAGGGGCGGAAGGGUAGCCUAGUGGUUAGAGUGGAGGGGCGGCAGGGUAGCCUAGUGGUUAGAGUGGAGGGGCGGCAGGGUAGCCUAGUGGUUAGAUUGUAGAGGCGGCAGGGUAGCCUAGUGGUUAGAGUGGAGGGGCGGCAGGGUAGCCUAGUGGUUAGAGUGGAGGGGCGGCAGGGUAGCCUAGUGGUUAGAGUGGAGGGGCUGCAGGGUAGCCUAGUGGUUAGAGUGUGGAGGCGGCAGGGUAGCCUAGUGGUUAGAGUGGAGGGGCGGCAGGGUAGCCUAGUGGUUAGAGUGGAGGGCGGCAGGGUAGCCUAGUGGUUAGAGUGGAGGGGCGGCAGGGUAGCCUAGUGGUUAGAGUGGAGGGGCGGCAGGGUAGCCUAGUGGUUAGAGUGGAGGGGCGGCAGGGUAGCCUAGUGGUUAAAGUGGAGGGGCGGCAGGGUAGCCUAGUGGUUAGAGUGUAGAGGCGGCAGGGUAGCCUAGUGGUCAGAGCGUUGGACUAGUAACCUAAAGGUUGCAAUUCAAAUCCCCGAGCUGACAAGGUACAAAUCUGUUGUUCUGCCCCUGAACAGGCAGUUAACCCACUGUUCCUAGGCCGUCAUUGUAAAUAAGAAUUUGUUCUUAACUGACUUGCCUAGUUAAAUAAAGGUCAAAUAAAAAAAAUAGUAUAAUUUAUACCUCUAAUAUCUCUACUACCAUUACCACUAGCAUCAUUUAUACCUCUAAUAUCUAUG
ensembl:lncRNA